rnacentral:lncRNA from 1 species
UCUGUAACUUAUAAUCAACUUGCUACCUUCUGCUAAGGUAAAUAUUGGUUUAUGAGGCCUCAAGGCUUUCAUGUUGACAAUAGGCAUCCGCUUAAUCAACUACCGCAAUAAGAAAGUCAAAGUCUUGGACAAAAAGACAUUUGGAUCUGGCUUGUCAGCUGAAUAGUCUCGCACUUCAAGCACAAGCAGCUCCUUGAGGCGCGCAAACAUUCACCCAGCUGCGAGGGAUCACCGUUAUAACUGUCUCGAGGGCACAGAGAAACAAAAGCCGUGCAAAUGAAAGAGCUGUGAGUGUCCAGAAACAGGACAGGACACAAACAAGUAACAAAUCAAAACCACUUGAAAUGUUUAAUCUGAAGGACUGAUGUUUCGCCAGCACAUCUGUCUCAGUGUCGGAUGGAGGUUAAAGAUGAUAAACAGUCACAUUCGAGGAUGUAACGGAUCAAAUACAUCACAGUUGAACUUGUACGGCAUGGCCUGUGGAGCCUGACCCCGAGGAGCUCCAUGCAUUAAUCAGUGCAGGCCGGGACACUCGACAGGCCCGGGACAUUCCUGGGACCACUCGCUGUGGGGCAGGUGAAAUUCGGAGGCUGGCCUGUCUCCGCUGUGAAACCAAGGAAGGGGCCAGAGGCGUUGCUAUGGGCCGAUCCCUGCAGGGCGUUCGCCUCACGCUCUCCUCACAAGUAAAUAGGAUGAGUAAUUAGAUAUAACAAUGAAAGAUUAAUGGUGUCAAAUUGAUGGUUCACUCAUGAAGGCUCGUCUCCUGGAGGUCCGCGAUCUCUCGCAGUCUUGCACUGGUCAUCGGGCCGCACGCCCCUGCUGGAGUUUGCAUUGUGAUUGCUGUGUUUGUGUUUGUCCCUGUGUAUAAGAUCAAACCAACGGUUGAUUGUUCUGCCAGAGAGCUUGGACUUGGGCCAGCACUGCACGCCUAGCAAUGUGAUUCAUCAUCAUCAUCAUCAUCAUCACAGCCGUGCACUGAACAGGUUGUGCUGGCACCCUAACAGUGGACAUAUGUUCCCCACUUCACACAUCCAAGCCAUUUUGUUGUGUUUAAAUGAACACGUCCAGGAAAGCUGAAUCGUUUGUGAGGUGCAGAUGUUCAUUGGGUUAAUGAAUCAUUAAUGAUACUUAUCGUGUUUCAUAUAACCACAAUUAUUAGCACCAAUUUACAAACAAAC